rnacentral:rRNA from 1 species
GACGAACGCUGGCGGCGUGCUUAACACAUGCCAGUCGAACGGGAUUUCGUAAACAGAAACCUCGGUGGAAGAUUACUAAUGAGAGUGGCGAACGGGUGAGUAACGCGUGAGCAACCUGCCUAUGACAGUGGGAUAGCCUCGGGAAACCGGGAUUAAUACCGCAUAAAAUCGUAGAAACACAUGUUUUAACGGUCAAAGAUUUAUCGGUCAUAGAUGGGCUCGCGUCUGAUUAGCUAGUUGGUGAGAUAACAGCCCACCAAGGCGACGAUCAGUAGCCGGUCUGAGAGGAUGAACGGCCACAUUGGAACUGAGACACGGUCCAAACUCCUACGGGAGGCAGCAGUGGGGAAUAUUGCACAAUGGGGGAAACCCUGAUGCAGCGACGCCGCGUGAACGAAGAAGGUAUUCGUAUCGUAAAGUUCUGUCCUAUGGGAAGAUAAUGACAGUACCAUAGAAGAAAGCUCCGGCUAAAUACGUG